UCGGGCACGCCAACAGACCGCCGAACGGACAGGGUUUCCCCUACACGCGGACAGAGUCUCCCCUGUACAUUCAAGGCGUCGCAAUCAAUACAAUUACAAGAGGUUCCAAACAGGAACAAUUUUCAACAACGAUUGCAUAAGGAAGGUAUCAAACAACAUAACACAUCCUAUAUUAUUACAAUCAUUCAUCUCAUCAUUUUACAUCGCAUUUUUCAUUACAUUGAUUCUCAACUUCCAAAUAUACAAUCGAUUUCUUUUCUUUUCUUUUCUUAUACCCCUAAGGAGCCGACUCAGGGUGCUGCUAUCUGGUCUCUGUGGUAGGGCGCUAACUACGGAGCUACGCCCUUUCCUCGCGCCGCCGCGCCGCUCGCGUGUGAACCUGUACCCCCAAAAACAACAACACGGGGGUGAGACUAUUGUCCAUAGUCGUCAGUGGGUACAGCCACCCAAGGGAAAAGCUCAACCCACCAGGUCCAAAGGAGGCACUGCAACAUGUUAGUCCAACAGAUAUAUACAUAUAACAUCAUGCAAUACAUGUUCAUGCCUCACAAAUAUGCAAAUUAUGCAACUCUUAGUCAUUCUUUACCAUUAGCCUUUCUUUAGAAUUUGCUAUUCUUUAUCAUUAGCCAUUCUUUACUCUUUAUUCUUUAUUCUUUAUUCUUUAUUCUUUAUUCUUUAUUCUUUAUUCUUUAUUCUUUAUUCUUUAUUCUUUAUUCUUUAUUCUUUAUUCUUUAUUCUUUAUUCUUUAUUCUUUAUUCUUUAUUCUUUAUUCUUUAUUCUUUAUUCUUUAUUCUUUAUUCUUUAUUCUUUAUUCUUUAUUCUUUAUUCUUUAUUCUUUAUUCUUUAUUCUUUAUUCUUUAUUCUUUAUUCUUUAUUCUUUAUUCUUUAUUCUUUAUUCUUUAUUCUUUAUUCUUUAUUCUUUAUUCUUUAUUCUUUAUUCUUUAUUCUUUAUUCUUUAUUCUUUAUUCUUUAUUCUUUAUUCUUUAUUCUUUAUUCUUUAUUCUUUAUUCUUUAUUCUUUAUUCUUUAUUCUUUAUUCUUUAUUCUUUAUUCUUUAUUCUUUAUUCUUUAUUCUUUAUUCUUUAUUCUUUAUUCUUUAUUCUUUAUUCUUUAUUCUUUAUUCUUUAUUCUUUAUUCUUUAUUCUUUAUUCUUUAUUCUUUGCUAAGGGCACUCGCACCUUAGGCGCAUUAUACACAUUUGCCAUUCUUUAUAACAUUAACAAACGUUUCUCAAUUGUCAUUCUUUCUCAAUUGUCAUUCUUUCACAGGGUUACCUUUACCCUAGCCAACUAUGCCACUCGACUCGGUCUUGAGUCAAUUCAUAAUGAAUACAAGAUCCACUUUCCAAUUCAUGAUUCCUUUUUGUUCUUUGUUCUUUAAUCUCACGGCUAACCCGGGGGUUUCGCCACAUUAACUUGCUUCACAUUAAGUCCAUCAUCGCAGGAACUCACCAGCUAGGACCGUCCUUACGGGUCUACUCCAACCCGGAUGCCAAACUCCGGAGCGCAUCGCCCGAGGGGGAGCGACCGCCCUCGAGCACGGAACUCAUAGCAAGUAUGAUCAUAUCCUUAACUCAAAGGAUUUGUAGUUGAAUCAUGGCUUUACACUAACUUUAGUGUUCUUUACAUCACAUUAGUUGCUAACUCUAGCAAUCAUUGUUCUUUACACCCCACUUGUCAAUUACUCUAGUAAUUGUCAUUCUUGAUACCACACUUGUUCUUUUGUUGCCACACACUAACUCUAGUGUGCUUCAUGUCACAUUGGUUGCUAACUCUAGCCAUUAUCAUUGUUCUUUACACUUUGCUUGUUCUUUAUGCCACAUUACUUUACAUCGCCUUUAGCCAUUAUCAUUAUUCUUUACAUCACAUUGCUUUGCCUUGUCUCAAGCCAUUAUCAUUAGGUUCUCACAUUACAUCUCAUGCAUACACAUAGAUUAUUUAGAUUCUUAAUCAUUCUAAUAAGCACGUGUACUCACAUCAUGCAACAUUACAUUAUUAUCAUCACAUUGUUUUACAUUAUCUUUAGCCAUUAUCAUUAUUCUUUACAUCACAUUUAUUCUUUGUUGUCCCACACUAACUCUAGUGUCCACUUUACCAUUUCGAAUGCCACUCGAUCUAUGUUCAACAUGCAUAUAUUUUGUCAUCCAUUGGUAGUCAUUACUUAGCAUUUUAUGCAUUCGUUAACAUUUACUACAUGCAUUCUCGGUUAGUACAAAUCUCAUACUUUCAUUUGACAUCUAUUUAGCAUUUCUAUAAUAUGCACAUGUAAAUUAACAUCAACUCAUGCAUUCAUUUGGCAUCUAUCUUUAUCAUGCAUUCUUAAAUAGCAUACUUUAUCAUGCAUUCUCAAAUAGCAUACUUUAUCAUGCAUCAAUAGUAAACAUACUACACUUUGGCAUGGAAAGCGACCUAAUCGCUUCGGUGAGCACAACCCACCUCAAAACGCUUUCCGAUUGCUUGUCGACACUUGCAAUCGGCCUCCCGCGGCACCCGUAACCCGGUUUGGCCCGAACUCUUGCGCGACCACCCGAACGGCCACCAAUUCGCGAUCCGUCUGUUCGGGAGUUUAUUCCCCGACACCACGAUGCUCCCGAUCCAUUCUCAUGAUUUUUGGAGGCUUAUCCCGCGUGCUGCGGCUAUCUGUACCAAAACAGAUUGUUUCGUCAAUAACUUUGCGUACACUCGUCGGAUUGUCGAACCGAGCGCACCAACGCGUUCGUUAUACCCCCAAUUAGGUUUAUAGAGGGUCAAUUGAGAUCAAACUCAACUAUUUACAAAAACCCUCUUUAGGAGCCCUAAUAUGCAACUAUUGCAAAAUCCACCAUUUCAUCUCAUGAAUCAAGCAUAAACCAUCUAUUUAGCAUGCUAGGAUUCCAUUAAAAUCAUCUUUAGAGUAUAAGAACUUAACCCUAAAGAUCUACCAUUAGAGAGCAUAAGGCUUACCUCUCUAAGCUUGCUCCCAUGGCUCAAGGAAGGAGAUGAAGAUGAAGCUCCAUCUUCUUGGCCUCUUCUCCUUCAUCUUCUUCUUUUUCUUCUCUUUCUUUCUCUUCUUCUCCUUCUUUUCUUUCUAGAGAGAGAGAGGGAGAGGUUUUGGUGUGGGAGAGUGAGAGAAAUGAGAGAAAGAGAGAAAGGGUCCUCUCUAUACACUCUCAUAAGUGCCAUUUUGCACUUAAGCCCCUCCACAAUGCUUCCCUCGCAACAGCCCAAACUGGGCAUUUUCGGGCUUCGGGGACCGGUCCUUGCGAUGAGAGACCGGUCCCUGAGAGACCGGUCCUUGGCUGAGAGACCGGUCCCCGAAGGUCCAGAAAUCAGCCUUCAAGGACUUAGCCAAAUUUUCCGCUUUUUCAUCGUUUUAGCUCCGUUUUCGCUCGUUUUUGCUCGUUUGACCUCCGAUUCAUUUCAAAUCGAACCGAGACUCUCCAAACAUGUUUUCGAACAUAUUUUCAUCAUCUUUUCACCCACGCUAAUGCCGGAUUUAACUCACGGUUCAACAUAGCCUUUCGGCUCCGUUUUCGCGCCCUAUGCGCACCGAAGCACCCGAAUGCUCCCGAACUUCGCCGGGACGAUUCCAAUGGCUUUCUAAGCUAACUUACAUCGUAACUUCGUGAAUUUAGAAGUUCGGUAUAUUACAUUCUCCACCCCUUAAAAGAAUUUCGUCCGCGAAAUUCAAACACAACUCGAUUCAGCUCCUCGAGCAAUUGAGGGCACCAAUACACUUUCCACUUCGGAAUGGCUUUACACUCCUUGGAACUAUCCAAAAGGACUACCACGGAGUUCAUGAUACUAAAUGCAUCCAAAUUUGCAAGGCGCAUCUCACAAAGUGCAUUAGGGUAUCCAUCACUCUUGGUGGCGGCGCAAGUCGAAACUCAACGACUCCACGCGCUCCAAUACCACUUGUCACUUGGCAUACAAGAACUCUUCUUCGCAUUUACUUUCCCCUCAGGGAAUACACUCCGAUUCUAUCUCCAACAUUGCUUAAAAGCAACAUCACUAGUGCAUCGCUUCACCGCGAGUGCUUUAAUUCCGCACCGAUCUUUAGCUCUAACAUGAGCCACCUCGGCACAUCCCAAAUCCAAUCCUCAAACUCCACGUGGCUUCUCACAAGUUCAAGGUCUCACCACGAGCACUUCAUCUUCUGAUACCAUAUGCCACGGCCAACGUCUUAUUACUUUCGCAAAGAGCUCACAUGAACACGUUAUUUGUGAACUCAAAUCAAACUCCCCGAUAAGGCUAUUCGCCAAAUCACUUUCCUCGACUUUCCACAGGUGGGCCAAAGGCCACCCAUACUACGUAGGCCUACAGCCUAAACCCGUCUCAAUACUCGACGUCCCUCGCUCGCAAGCGUAGACCCAAUCAUCGUUGGGGCGAAAUUCUCACUGGGAAAUUCGCACACACUCCAACCAGGAGCAACUAAAAUCCCAAACCGUUACAGAUUCCCGGGUUGGGUCACACUCGCACUCUCAGUAUACUAUCAAUCGCACUAUACGCUCUAUAGCACAAUACGUACCACUAUCAGCUCCUUUGCACCUAGUGCGAGCCACCAGCCCCACGAGUGAUCCGUGGCACGCUUCACACCUAGCAAUGCUCAGGUGCUACUGCCAACACACUCAUCCGGCUGAACUAAAUCCGCACUCCACGAGUAACUAUACUCGAGCGCUAUAUGCGCCUCUAUAGCAUUCCAACUAUGUCAAGCAUCAGGCAACUUUGCCUAUGCACACCGGCCACACGAGCACGACUCACCCACCUCAAUUCGAGAUACUACUAGGCCAACGCGCCCGUAUUUGGCAGCCAAUCGCUCUACCGGAGCAACAUCUAGAACACUCAAACCAUUCGAGUGUCCACAAGUGUCAUGACACAACUCUUGCAAUCAAUUACAUACAUUGCUCUGCAAGUUGGUUCGUCAUUUCCACCUCUACUACAAGUCUCAUCAUUAGACCAUCACUAGCAACUCGCUAGUACCAUCCAGUUCUCUACCUGCACCGGCAGGUGCAACGCUCUCACCACAUAAGCGUGCCCGGGUACUUACAUUUAUCCGCGCACUUGGAUCCUACUAUGCUACUACAUAAAUAGUAGUAAUUAAUUACAUGCUCAAUGCAUGCAAUGCACCAACUUUACAUUAUGCAGAAACACAUGACUGCAUUAAUGGCUCAUACCUGCCAUGACGUUGUCAGCAGCAGGUUCCAUAUCCCGGACAUAGUUCACGAUAGGGAGAAUUCCCGUUCGUACUCUCUAACUGAGCGGUCUCCUUGCCGCAGCUUCCUGAACUUGUCCUGAAGCUUUCUCUUUUCACUGUCGGGGGAAGUCAGUAGAAGAUACCAAUCCCCGAAACUCAUCCCAUGCCAUGGAGGAAUACUAGGUGAUCGGUUCCGCCGAAUGCCUUUCCACCACGCCUUAGCCGACUGUUUCAAACAAUACACGACUAGGGGUACCCUGUCCAGCUCCAAGGUAGACAGCUCCUCGAAAAGCGUUUCCACAGAGUCAAUCCACGUAUCCACAAUCCACGAAUCGACAUUCUCUCCAUCGAAGAUAGGUGGAUCAAACUUUAUGAAGGUCAUGAGGGCUGCCAAAGCCCGCUCUUUCUCAUUCUUUUCCUUUCCUUCCUCUCUCUUUCUUUGUCCUCUAGAGAGAGAAAGAGAAGUGAGAGAGUGUGAGGGUGAGGAUGAGAAAAUAUCUCAUUCACCCAUCAUACUCAGCCUAUUCAUUGCAAAAUUGCAACUAAGUCUCUCAACUUUUAUUUCACAACACUGCCCAAACUGGGCAGACUUCGGGCUCUGAGACCGGUCUCCCCGACCAUGGGACCGGUUCCUGAGAGCUCUCCCCGCGGCAGCAGAGCUCGUGCGCAAUGCAACCGCUCUCCCCUGGUGAGACCGGUCUCUCGGGGACCGGUCUGUCCCCUUGGGACCGGUUCCCGAGAGCUGCGUUUCCAAGACUUAGCCAAAUCUUCAGUUCCCAGACUCCACACGCGCUCGGGGACCGGUCUCCCCGACUUGGGACCGGUCCCUGAGAGCUGAAAACCUGCAGCUUUGCAGAUUUUCAAUUCCAACGCUCUCGAAGACCUCUCCGAGGCACUUUUACUCAUUUUGACGUCCUCGGCCUCUCCGAAGCACACCCAUUUCAUACUUUGGUCACUUUGACUAAAGUUCGAUAUUUCGACCACCGAGUUUCGAUAUAUUACAUCUACAAUUUUUUUUUUGGAGUCUCUUAAUUCCCUCCCCUUGGUGCAUAGCAGCCUCUUGCGGCCGCUGCACCACAUCAGCUUGUUGCCUCACCACACCCACAAGCGUGGCCAACUGUUCGCGAAGUUCCAAGUCUCCGCGCGCCUCGGAUUGCUCAGGGACAUCACUUGUCCCACCCCGCGUCGAUCUAAACGAAGAUCGCCUACGCGGUGCCAUCGUUACCUAGAACAUGACAACUCAACUAACUCUCAACCUUCUAGGUCGAGUAUGAAACAAUUGACACCAACUCAAAUCGGGCGAAAGUCAUACAAGGGCAUCUAUUCUCAUCACUCGGUUUCAUGUUGUACGCGUCCAACAUGAACACCCUCGGUUGAGAAUAGACAACACCUUGGAUCUACCUCUAAUCUCCUUUUUAGAGGUUUACAACACAACCCAAUCCCUUAACCUUUCGCCAAAAGUCAUAAGUCCUCGUCUCUCACGAGCCUUAAUCUCCUAUGGUUUACUAUCCUAGGGUCUCCUAGGUUCAUCUAAACCACUUUUCCAUUCUCUACUUUAUGCUCUGAUACCAUCUUAUCUGUCACGCCCCGAGCCCGCCUCUUUGGUCGGAUUCGGGCACGCCAACAGACCGCCGAACGGACAGGGUUUCCCCUACACGCGGACAGAGUCUCCCCUGUACGUUCAAGGCGUCGCAAUCAAUACAAUUACAAGAGGUUCCAAACAGGAACAAUUUUCAACAACGAUUGCAUAAGGAAGGUAUCAAACAACAUAACACAUCCUAUAUUAUUACAAUCAUUCAUCUCAUCAUUUUACAUCGCAUUUUUCAUUACAUUGAUUCUCAACUUCCAAAUAUACAAUCGAUUUCUUUUCUUUUCUUUUCUUAUACCCCUAAGGAGCCGACUCAGGGUACUGCUAUCUGGUCUCUGUGGUAGGGCGCUAACUACGGAGCUACGCCCUUUCCUCGCGCCGCCGCGCCGCUCGCGUGUGAACCUGUACCCCCAAAAACAACAACACGGAG
rnacentral:lncRNA from 1 species